rnacentral:rRNA from 1 species
GAUGAACGCUGGCGGCGUGCCUAAUACAUGCAAGUCGAGCGAAUGGAUUAAGAGCUUGCUCUUAUGAAGUUAGCGGCGGACGGGUGAGUAACACGUAGGUAACCUGCCCAUAAGACUGGGAUAACUCCGGGAAACCGGGGCUAAUACCGGAUAACAUUUUGAACCGCAUGGUUCGAAAUUGAAAGGCGGCUGCGGCUGUCACUUAUGGAUGGCCCCGCGUCGCAUUAGCUAGUUGGUGAGGUAACGGCUCACCAAGGCAACGAUGCGUAGCCGACCUGAGAGGGGGAUCGGCCACACUGGGACUGAGACACGGCCCAGAAUCCUACGGGAGGCAGCAGUAGGGAAUCUUCCGCAAUGGACGAAAGGCUGACGGAGCAACGCCGCGUGAGUGAUGAAGGCUUUCGGGUCGUAAAACUCUGUUGUUAGGGAAGAACAAGUGCUAGUUGAAUAAGCUGGCACCUUGACGGUACCUAACCAGAAAGCCACGGCUAACUACGUGCCAGCCGCCGCGGUAA